rnacentral:rRNA from 1 species
GAUGAACGCUAGCGGCAGGCUUAACACAUGCAAGUCGAGGGGCAGCAUAAAUAGUAGCAAUACUAUUGGUGGCGACCGGCGGACGGGUGCGUAACGCGUAUACAACCUUCCCUAAACAGGGGGAUAAUCUGGAGAAAUUCGGUCUAAUACCCCAUAACAUCAGAGCAGGCAUCUGUUUUGGUUAAAAUUUCCGGAGGUUUUGGAUGGGUAUGCGUAGCAUUAGCUAGUUGGUGAGGUAACGGCUCACCAAGGCGACGAUGCUUAGGGGGACUGAGAGGUUAACCCCCCAAACUGGGACUGAGACACGGACCAGACUCCUACGGGAGGCAGCAGUGAGGAAUAUUGGUCAAUGGGCGGAAGCCUGAACCAGCCAUGCCGCGUGCAGGAUGACGGCUCUAUGAGUUGUAAACUGCUUUUGUACGAGGGUAAAGUGGGCUACGUGUAGCCUUUUGAAAGUAUCGUACGAAUAAGGAUCGGCUAACUCCGUGCCAGCCGCCGCGGUAA